rnacentral:lncRNA from 1 species
UGUUGAGAUUCCCAAUGAAAGGAAGAAUCCAAAGUUCUUUAGGAAGCUUGAACUGGUGUCAGCCUAAAAAAGACAGGCCUAGGCUCCGUUCGUUGGUCCUUCGGCUCCGAUGGGUGGCAACGUCAAGGUUCCGACCAUCGAAUCUACUCCUGUGGCCGUAGGAGAUGAAAAUCUCCCUUCAAUCAUCGAAUCCAUAGUUCCACUGUUAGAGGCCACGAUGGGAGCUCCG